rnacentral:lncRNA from 1 species
AGCUGCUUUUUUUCACCCAAAAUUCUGCAUAUUUAAUUAUCUUGCAACAAGGCCAGAAUUUAUAAAGUAAUUCCAACCUUGCUUGUUUUUCCUUGUUCAUCUUCUCACAUUUUCAUUUUCGACCAAAAUAGCUAGAGAGAUGAUUAUUUUCUUUGAUUGCUUUCUCUUAUAUCAGGUUCCAAAUAGUAUCAAAAACCUUCUAGGCUUGCAAAUACUUCUCUAAAAUCUAAUUUAUAGCACUAUUGCUGACUUUGCUUUUGAACUAUUCUUUCCCCUUCAUUUUCCAAUACUAUAUAUUCUCUCUCUUUUUUUUUUCUUUUUUUUUUUUUCCCCUUUUUGAUAAGAACAAAACAACUUCUUCACCAUAUGAGCCAACUGAUGUACCAUUUUCUUUCAAAAAUGGUUCCCUUAACAGCCAUGCAAAUUUUCUGCGUAAAAUAGACCAUUUUCUUCAAUAUUGAUUAGAAAGGUGAACUCCGGUGAAGUUUACAUGUAAGGUGUGAUCAUAUUAUGAACUAAUUUUCCUUUAUCUUUAUAUGCUAUCUUCUUAUUGGCCUUCACUUUUAACUUCUGUUUAUCUUUUUUUUCUUCUGGAUUACCCCCAAAAAUCUGCCAACCUGCCUACAAAAGAAAAGAAUUGUUUAGUGGAGCAAUUGUGUGAAGUUCUAUAUUUGCUAAUAAGUUUACUUCUUGUUCUUGUUCUGACUAGGUAAAAAGGGAAAAAGAAGAAAAACAAUUACUGAGGCAGUUUUUUGUGGAGAUUGUGGGCAAUUGCCUCACUCUAGAAUGAUUGAUUUGCUUCCUGGCUUCUUGCAAAAUUGCAUUUCCUCUUUUGGUAAAUUGCAAAAUUGCAAAAUAUGAUGAAUUAAUUCAGCAUAUUUGGUUGACUGAUUUGGUAAACCUUGCACUGGCCUAAUUUAUGUUCUCUAUUUGAAAACUAAGAAAGUGUCAAGAACUGGUAUCAAACCCCUAUUUCUUAUCCCUUCUCAACUGAGACAAGUAUCAAUUUACUGGUGACCCUGUUCUUGAGACACUGGUGAAGGUACAUCAUGAAGCAUUUCCCAUAGUCACUCAUUAGAAUUGUAGUUCUGUUUCUGAAUUGAGAAAUGUGUUUGCGAAAUACCCCAGUUUGCCUUAUUUUUCUGGCUGUGUUGCCCAGAAUAUCACAAAUGAAUGGGCUAAAGGAGUGUUUAGUGAUGCCGAAAAACAAUAACACAUCAUACAUAUGUAUUGUUUCUUCUUUUUCUUCUUCUUCUUCCUAUUUUCUCUGGUUUUUAUUUUUUUCUUUAAGAUUUUAGAUUCUUACAGGUGCAUAUUGCAUAGAGAGGUGUUGGUGCAACCUUUGAUUGAGAUGCUUCAUUAUGCAGAUGUACAGUUGAGGGAAAUGUCAUCCUUUGCAUUGGGGAGAUUGGCAUAGGUUAUACUCCUAGAAUUCUUUUAUUUCCUUUUCAAAUUACAAGUGACAAAUAAUAUUGAUGGCAUGAAAUGCUUACUAUAUUAUAUCAAUGAGUAGUCUGUUUCUUUCAAGUUAUCUUUACAGGAUUUAUCACAACAAGUAGUUUUGUUUUAAAGUGAUUUCAAACACAAUAUAUUUCUGAAUUUUAUUUUAUCUGCUUCCUAUUCCUGUUUACUCUUCCUUUUGAGGUAUACACCAUUUGUCUCAACUUAAAACAUGCACUUCCAUUGAUAUACAGUAGUUUGGUUCAUUGCAGUUGGUCCAUUGAUAUAAAGUGUACCACCUUGCUGUAAAUCCAGGCAACCAUCAAAAUUUUUAGCCGUGAAAUGAAAAUUUUGUAUAUGCUGUUCCAUUUAUGAUGGAUAAUUGCAUCCUUACACCUUAUAGUUUUGGUUCAUUUAUAACAUAAAACUUGGGUAUGGUCAAUGGACUCACUUCAUGAAUUUUGGUAAUGCCCAAGCUCAAGCUCGAGUUUCAAGUCAAUUAUAUAGAGACUGAAAAAGAACACUACUGCUUAAACCUUAAAUUUGAGCUACGAAAAGCGUGGGCUUUAAUUUUUGUUACAUUGUAGACACUGAUCAAAUGACUGCCUAAAACUUGGUAUUCUAUUUCCAAUGAAAAGAGACAAAAAGAGCACUACCAUGCUGGAGCUUACUUUUUCUUUAAAACUGGACUCACACAUAAGCUGCUUUUUUUCACCCAAAAUUCUGCAUAUUUAAUUAUCUUGCAACAAGGCCAGAAUUUAUAAAGUAAUUCCAACCUUGCUUGUUUUUCCUUGUUCAUCUUCUCACAUUUUCAUUUUCGACCAAAAUAGCUAGAGAGAUGAUUAUUUUCUUUGAUUGC